rnacentral:rRNA from 1 species
UACGUAGGGGGCUAGCGUUGUCCGGAAUCAUUGGGCGUAAAGAGCGUGUAGGCGGUCCGGUAAGUCCGCUGUGAAAGUCGGGGGCUCAACCCUCGAAUGCCGGUGGAUACUGUCGGGCUAGAGUGCGGAAGAGGCGAGUGGAAUUCCUGGUGUAGCGGUGAAAUGCGCAGAGUAUCAGGAGGAACACCGAUGGCGAAGGCAGAUCUCUGGGCCAUUACUGACGCUGAGGAGCGAAAGCGUGGGGAGCGAACAGG